GAUGAACGCUGGCGGCGUGCCUAAUACAUGCAAGUCGAGCGAACAGACGAGGAGCUUGCUCCUCUGACGUUAGCGGCGGACGGGUGAGUAACACGUGGAUAACCUACCUAUAAGACUGGGAUAACUUCGGGAAACCGGAGCUAAUACCGGAUAAUAUAUUGAACCGCAUGGUUCAAUAGUGAAAGACGGUUUUGCUGUCACUUAUAGAUGGAUCCGCGCCGCAUUAGCUAGUUGGUAAGGUAACGGCUUACCAAGGCAACGAUGCGUAGCCGACCUGAGAGGGUGAUCGGCCACACUGGAAAUGAGACACGGUCCAGACUCCUACGGGAGGCAGCAGUAGGGAAUCUUCCGCAAUGGGCGAAAGCCUGACGGAGCAACGCCGCGUGAGUGAUGAAGGUCUUCGGAUCGUAAAACUCUGUUAUUAGGGAAGAACAAAUGUGUAAGUAACUAUGCACGUCUUGACGGUACCUAAUCAGAAAGCCACGGCUAACUACG
rnacentral:rRNA from 1 species